UUCGGCGCUCAGUGGCGAACGGGUGAGUAGCACAUGGGCAACCUGCCCUUCAGAGGGGGACAACAGCUGGAAACGGCUGCUAAGACCGCAUAGGCGCGGACGGGACAUCCCGUCCACGUUAAACGUCCUUUCGGGGACGGCUGAAGGAUGGGCCUGUGGCGCAUUAGCUUGUUGGCGGGGCAACGGCCCACCAAGGCGACGAUGCGUAGCCGGCCUGAGAGGGCGGACGGCCACACUGGGACUGAGACACGGCCCAGACUCCUACGGGAGGCAGCAGUAGGGAAUUUUCGGCAAUGGGGGGAACCCUGACCGAGCAACGCCGCGUGAACGAGGAAGGCCUUCGGGUCGUAAAGUUCUGUUGCGAAGGAAGAACGCCGGAGGGAGGAAAUGACCUCCGGGUGACGGUACUUCGCGAGAAAGCCACGGCUAACUACGUGCCAGCAGCCGCGGUAAUACGUAGGUGGCGAGCGUUAUCCGGAAUCAUUGGGCGUAAAGAGGGAGCAGGCGGCCGUGAGGGUCUGUGGUAAAAGACUGAAGCUCAACUUCAGUGAGCCAUGGAAACCGGACGGCUGGAGUGCGGCAGAGGAUCGUGGAAUUCCAUGUGUAGCGGUGAAAUGCGUAGAUAUAUGGAGGAACACCAGUGGCGAAGGCGACGGUCUGGGCCUGCACUGACGCUCAUUCC
rnacentral:rRNA from 1 species